rnacentral:rRNA from 1 species
CCUACGGGAGGCUGCAGUAGGGAAUUUUCGUCAAUGGGCGCAAGCCUGAACGAGCAAUGCCGCGUGAACGAGGAAGGUCUUCGGAUCGUAAAGUUCUGUUGAAGGGGAAAAAGAGCGGAGAGAGGAAAUGGUCUCCGAUUGAUAUUACCCUUCGAGGAAGUCACGGCUAACUACGUGCCAGCAGCCGCGGUAAUACGUAGGUGGCGAGCGUUUACCGGAAUGAUUGGGCGUAAAGGGUGCGUAGGCGGACUGCUAAGUCUGGAGUGAAAGGUACCGGCUCAACCGGUACAGGCUCUGGAAACUGGCGAGCUAGAGAGCAGGAGAGGGCGGUGGAACGCGAUGUGUAGCGGUAAAAUGCGUAGAUAUAUGGAAGAACACCAGUGGCGAAGGCGGCCGCCUGGCGUGUUACUGACGCUGAGGCACGAAAGCGUGGGGAGCAAAUAGGAUUAGAUACCCCUGUAGUC